rnacentral:rRNA from 1 species
UGGAAGGGGGGGUGCUUACCUGCAGUCGACGAUGAUCUCCCGCUUGCGGGGGUGAUUAGUGGCGAACGGGUGAGUAAUACGUGAGUAACCUGCCCUUGACUCUGGGAUAAGCCUGGGAAACCGGGUCUAAUACUGGAUACGACCCCCUGUCGCAUGGUGGGGGGUGGAAAGGGUUUGACUGGUUUUGGAUGGGCUCACGGCCUAUCAGCUUGUUGGUGGGGUAAUGGCUCACCAAGGCGACGACGGGUAGCCGGCCUGAGAGGGUGACCGGCCACACUGGGACUGAGACACGGCCCAGACUCCUACGGGAGGCAGCAGUGGGGAAUAUUGCACAAUGGGCGGAAGCCUGAUGCAGCGACGCCGCGUGAGGGAUGACGGCCUUCGGGUUGUAAACCUCUUUCAGCAGGGAAGAAGCCACAAGUGACGGUACCUGCAGAAGAAGCGCCGGCUAACUACGUGCCAGCAGCCGCGGUAAUACGUAGGGCGCAAGCGUUGUCCGGAAUUAUUGGGCGUAAAGAGCUCGUAGGCGGUUUGUCGCGUCUGCUGUGAAAGCCCGGGGCUCAACCCCGGGUCUGCAGUGGGUACGGGCAGACUAGAGUGCAGUAGGGGAGACUGGAAUUCCUGGUGUAGCGGUGAAAUGCGCAGAUAUCAGGAGGAACACCGAUGGCGAAGGCAGGUCUCUGGGCUGUUACUGACGCUGAGGAGCGAAAGCAUGGGGAGCGAACAGGAUUAGAUACCCUGGUAGUCCAUGCCGUAAACGUUGGGCACUAGGUGUGGGGGACAUUCCACGUUCUCCGCGCCGUAGCUAACGCAUUAAGUGCCCCGCCUGGGGAGUACGGCCGCAAGGCUAAAACUCAAAGGAAUUGACGGGGGCCCGCACAAGCGGCGGAGCAUGCGGAUUAAUUCGAUGCAACGCGAAGAACCUUACCAAGGCUUGACAUUCACCGGACUACCCCAGAGAUGGGGUUUCCCUUCGGGGUCGGUGGACAGGUGGUGCAUGGUUGUCGUCAGCUCGUGUCGUGAGAUG